rnacentral:rRNA from 1 species
AUUGAACGCUGGCGGCAUGCUUUACACAUGCCAGUCGAACGGUAACAGGCCGCAAGGUGCUGACGAGUGGCGAACGGGUGAGUAAUGCAUCGGAACGUGCCCAGUCGUGGGGGAUAACUACUCGAAAGAGUAGCUAAUACCGCAUACGAUCUAUGGAUGAAAGCGGGGGACCGUAAGGCCUCGCGCGAUUGGAGCGGCCGAUGUCAGAUUAGGUAGUUGGUGGGGUAAAGGCUCACCAAGCCAACGAUCUGUAGCUGGUCUGAGAGGACGACCAGCCACACUGGGACUGAGACACGGCCCAGACUCCUACGGGAGGCAGCAGUGGGGAAUUUUGGACAAUGGGCGCAAGCCUGAUCCAGCAAUGCCGCGUGCAGGAAGAAGGCCUUCGGGUUGUAAACUGCUUUUGUACGGAACGAAACGGCUCUGGUUAAUACCCGGGGCUAAUGACGGUACCGUAAGAAGAAGCACCGGCUAACUACGUG